UAGGGAAUUUUGCGCAAUGGGGGAAACCCUGACGCAGCAACACCGCGUGAAUGUUAAGCCCUUCGGGGUGUAAAGUUCUGUCAGUAGGGACGAAAUUUGACUGUACCUACAAAGGAAGCACCGGCUAACUCCGUGCCAGCAGCCGCGGUAAUACGGGGGGUGCAAGCGUUGUCCGGAAUCAUUGGGCGUAAAGCGUUCGUAGGCGGUAUAUCAAGUCUGGUGUUAAAGCCCGGGGCUCAACUCCGGUUCGGCACUGGAUACUGGUAAACUAGAAUGCAGUAGAGGUAAGGGGAAUUCCUGGUGUAGCGGUGAAAUGCGUAGAUAUCACGCAGAACUCCGAUUGCGAAGGCAGCUUACUGGGAUACAACUGACGCUGAAGCACGAAAGCGUGGGUAUCGAACA
rnacentral:rRNA from 1 species